rnacentral:rRNA from 1 species
UACGUAGGGGGCAAGCGUUGUCCGGAAUCAUUGGGCGUAAAGAGCGCGUAGGCGGUCCGGUAAGUCCGCUCUGAAAGUCCGGGGCUCAACCCCGGGAGGCGGGCGGAUACCGCCGGGCUAGAGUCCGGAAGAGGCGAGUGGAAUUCCUGGUGUAGCGGUGAAAUGCGCAGAUAUCAGGAGGAACACCAAUGGCGAAGGCAGCUCGCUGGGACGGUACUGACGCUGAGGCGCGAAAGCGUGGGGAGCAAACAGG